GCGGUUUUCGCCUAGUUGGCUAUGGCGUCUGCCUUCCAAGCAGAAAUAGGGCGGGUUCGAGUCCCGCAAGCCGCU
rnacentral:tRNA from 1 species